rnacentral:rRNA from 1 species
GGACUAACAGGUUGGUCGCGCCUUUGGUGUGUACUGGUCUAGUUGGUUUCUCCCUUCUGACGAACCACGAUGUCAUUAAUUUGGUGUCGCGGGGAAUCAGGACUGUUACUUUGAAAAAAUUAGAGUGUUUAAAACAGGCUUAUGCUUGAAUACAUUAGCAUGGAAUAACGGAAUAGGACU